rnacentral:rRNA from 1 species
AGAGUUUGAUCAUGGCUCAGAAUCAACGCUGGCGGCGUGCCUAACACAUGCAAGUCGAACGCGAAAGUGGAGCAAUCCAUGAGUAGAGUGGCAAACGGGUGAGUAACGCGUGGGUGACCUGCCUUCGAGUGGGGGAUAACGCUCCGAAAGGGACGCUAAUACCGCAUAACAUCCCGCCUUUUAAGAGGUGGAGAUCAAAGCCUGGGACCGCAAGGCCAGGCGCUCAAAGAGGGGCCCGCGUCUGAUUAGCUAGUUGGUGGGGUAAUGGCUCACCAAGGCUUCGAUCAGUAUCCGGCCUGAGAGGGCGGACGGACACACUGGGACUGAGACACGGCCCAGACUCCUACGGGAGGCAGCAGUGGGGAAUUGUUCGCAAUGGGCGCAAGCCUGACGACGCAACGCCGCGUGGAGGAUGAAGACCUUCGGGUCGUAAACUCCUUUCGAUCGAGACGAAUGGCCUCUGGGUGAACAAUCCAGAGGAGUGACGGUACCGAGAGAAGAAGCCCCGGCUAACUCCGUGCCAGCAGCCGCGGUA